rnacentral:rRNA from 1 species
AGUGAACGCUGGCGGUAGGCCUAACACAUGCAAGUCGAACGGCAGCACAGUAAGAGCUUGCUCUUACGGGUGGCGAGUGGCGGACGGGUGAGGAAUACAUCGGAAUCUACUUUUUCGUGGGGGAUAACGUGGGGAAACUUACGCUAAUACCGCAUACGACCUACGGGUGAAAGCAGGGGAUCUUCGGACCUUGCGCGGUUGAAUGAGCCGAUGUCGGAUUAGCUAGUUGGCGGGGUAAAGGCCCACCAAGGCGACGAUCCGUAGCUGGUCUGAGAGGAUGAUCAGCCACACUGGAACUGAGACACGGUCCAGACUCCUACGGGAGGCAGCAGUGGGGAAUAUUGGACAAUGGGCGCAAGCCUGAUCCAGCCAUACCGCGUGGGUGAAGAAGGCCUUCGGGUUGUAAAGCCCUUUUGUUGGGAAAGAAAAGCAGCAGGUUAAUACCCCGCUGUUCUGACGGUACCCAAAGAAUAAGCACCGGCUAACUUCGUG